rnacentral:tRNA from 1 species
UGUGCUAGUAGCUCAGCUGGAUAGAGCAUCGGCCUUCUAAGCCGGUUGUCGGGGGUUCGAAUCCCUUCUGGCACGUC